rnacentral:rRNA from 1 species
UACGUAGGGUGCGAGCGUUAAUCGGAAUUACUGGGCGUAAAGCGUGCGUAGGCGGUUCUCCAAGUCCGUUGUGAAAGCCCCGGGCUCAACCUGGGAAUGGCAGUGGAAACUAGGGGACUGGAAUCUGGCAGAGGGGGGUGGAAUGCCGCGUGUAGCAGUGAAAUGCGUAGAGAUGCGGAGGAACACCGAUGGCGAAGGCAGCCCCCUGGGCCAAUACUGACGCUCAGGCACGAAAGCGUGGGGAGCAAACAGG